AUAACCCCCUUCGAUCAAGCAUUUUCAAGCAUCUCGAUCAGAAGGAAACGGUUGCACAACACCUGAGAAGAUCAAAAUGGACGUACUACUACUCAAAAGGGCAUUCGAACUCCAAGCCGAAACAACAUGGAACAACAAACCACGGCAACUCCUACAAAGAAAACAACGGCCAAUCAACGGCUUCAUCGUAUUACAAUGGAUCAUCCUGUAGAAUCAAAUCACAAGAACUAAGCCAACCAGAGGGGGGUGAAUGGUUAGUAUACCCAAAAACCGAAAACUUUUAGCGGAAAUAAAAGUUACCCUCAAAAUCGAUGGAUCGCGGUCUGACCGAAGUAGUUGCGCCGGUCUGACCGCUGAUGAACGUCGGUCUGACCGAAGUAGAUCGAUCGGUCGAACCGUCGAGAACGCCUGUCGUCGACUCCUGUCGCCACCGGUCUGACCGCCGUGUGCCCGCCGGUUGGACCGUCGCGAUGCCGCCGGUCUGACCGCCGGUGCGCCGCCGGUUAGACCGCCGAAACCCGGUGAAACACAAAUCGAAGAACUCUUAAAGUGGAUGACGACUUUAUU